rnacentral:lncRNA from 1 species
CGUUUUUGGGGGGGAGAGGAGGCUUAUCUGCAACAGGGCAGUUGAAGGUCAGACAGUGUGAAGGACUUCUCAGCUUUCUGUUUACCUGGAGCAGAAGAGGAGUGCGUUUGGAGAGAAGCAGAGGGUCUGCCCUCCUAUCAACAGCACAGGAGAUGAGGAGAGAGAGGAAGUUCUCAGCACUGCACUGCCUUUGAAGAUGAAUACAACCUCUCUGGUCUGCAAUGCUCCUGGUAGACCGAGGCAGAGCUGCUGAAGGAGCCAAAGGUAGUUGAAU